UUUAGUUUGAAAAUGUUUGGAAAGAUUGAUUUACCUGAAAGUUGUUUGCUGGCUUAAUUUUUUUUAAAACAACAUAUUAGUAAGAAAUGUCAUCAAUCUUAAAGACUCAAUCACAUCUGCGCGACGCGACGCUAUAUAAAACAACUGCCGCGGUGUGGCAUGCUCAUAUUGCACUACCGCAGCAGUCAACUGUAUACUACAUAUUUUGACUUUUUAACGGGUCGACAAAAACCAAAUCCGACAACCCAGGCAGUUCACUGAUACGUGACGCUAUAAAAACUCCUUGUCAGCGAACAGCGUAGCCCAGCGCGCAACGUCGCUCAAGUGUGUAUUGCUACCAAGAAGACUAAACACAUGAGGUGGAACUACCUAGGCGAAGCUUGAAGUUUUGCAUAGCAUAACAUAGCGUCAUGUGGACGGGGCUUUUCAAUCGGGAUCGCAGUUGCAUUCCGCGCAUCAUCAUUGGUAUUGGUUUCCAUUUCUAUGAUGGGAGAUUUCCAUGAAAGGUGCAACCAACCAACCAUCCCACAAUUACGUGAAAAUGCGCAGAACGCAAUUGCGACAUUGAUUGAAAAGCCCGGCCUAUCGGGCGAUAUCUAUUGGAAAUCAACAAACAACACAAUAUAAGCGAACAUAAUUCUGUCUAUUCGGUAACUUAAGAAUGUUGAAACAUAUAAAAAUAUUGCAAGUUAAAAUGUA